UGAUGCGUUGUUAUAAUGUCCUCUGUUUCUGCGAUGCAAAAAUACAACUAUAUAGUUUCCUGAAACAUGCAAGCAGAUAGUAACGUUAUUCAUUGACUGGCCUCCAUUUUGUUCGUUGUGGAUGGUUCGUAACAGUCCUAAUGGCCUUUUUGUUAGAUUAUACCGUGGCUGGGUGGUUUCUGUUUACCUUAAUAUUUAUGUCUGGACUUCUGAGAUAAAUCAAUGAAUGGAUCUAUAUCUUCUGAGCAUUUCCAGUCCAAUCCAGGUUUUGAUUUUUCCCUUAUGGUAUUAUUCUUAGUUUUUAUGGGUAUAGCUUAGCAGCGCCAAGAUUUUGAAUGGCAUCAUUUACCAUCUCUUUUGCAUCGUAUUCAGUUAUGCCUCUUGAGUGGAACUGGUGUGCAUUGCAUUAGGGUUAAAUGUGGUGCCCAGAAUGACAAGGGUAGGCUUACCAGCACAUAGCAACUUGUAUUGCCAUGAUGCCAAAUGGUUCUACCCACACUUAUCUUGUUACACUGGUAUUUACUAGUGAGGUUUUGAUAAAUGGGCGAUUAGGGUUUCUUGCACCUUUUAUUUUAGUUUAAGAUGGAAAUGGUCUUUGUGAUGAAGAAAGCAGACGGGCGGACAGAACUGAUGCCGUGUUGAUUGUCUGGUUGCCCAUUUAGGGUUUCUGAAAGACCUCA